AUCAUGCUCUCAUAAGGUUUCACCAACAACCCUAACCAUUAUCAUCAAAGAACAAAGAAGAAGGAACAAAAGAUUGGAGCUUACCUUGAUCCUAUGAAUGAGAAACUUGAUGAUCCAAGUUUCAAGCUCUAAAAUUCCUCCUAAAUCAGCUUUAGAACUUUAUGAGAUGGUGGAGGAAGAAAGGAGAAGGAGAUAGAGGAGUUUAGGAGAAGAGAAAUGAAUAAAAUAAGCCCAAACCCCGGGUUUUAUAAGCAAAAUCAGGCCGGUGUGUGGGUCAUGCGCGGCCCCGCACACCAACCGCACAGGCCAGGCAGAAGGGUAUGCGGCCUCUGUGCGGCGCUACAUAGAGGUCGCACAACCCCCAGGUGAGGCUGUGUGGCUUGUUCACAGCCCGCACAGUUUUGUGCGGCCUGUGCACAGCCUAAACUCCCUCUAAGAUCCUCCAAAAUACUCUCAAACACCCGGAAACCAACUACAAAAGUUCAACAAGAAGAUUCAAAGGAAACUCAACGGGGAAACAAUCACAACAUCUAAGACAAACGGACAAUAAACAAGGGCAAUGAGGACCAAAAUACCACAUGAAGCCCGUGCGCGAGUUCUAUCAGAUAAAGCCAAUGAUUAGGGGCAUCGGGGCCACGGAAUUGAGAGCUCCAAGUAGGCCUUUUUUGGUAAGCAGAACUGGCGAUGCGGGAUGAACCGAAAGCCAGGUUACGGUGCCCGACUGCGUGCUAACCCAGAACCCACAAAAGGUGUUGUUCGAUUAAAAUAGCAGGACGGUGGUCAUGGAAGUCGAAAUCCGGUAAGGAGUGUGUAACAACUCACCUGCCGAAUCAACUAGCCAUGAAAAAUGGAUGGCGCUGAAGCAUGUGACACACACCGGGCGAUCGGGGCGAGCGCCAUGCCCCGAUGAGUAGGAGGCGCGGCGGCCGCCGCGAAGAUUGGGGUGCGAGCACGGGCGGAGCGGCCACCUGUGCGGAUCUUGGUGGUAAUAGAAAAUAUUCGAAUGAGAACUUUGAAGGCCCAAGAGGGGAAAGGUUCCAUGUGAAGGGCACUUGCACAUAGGUUAGCCGAUUCUAAGGGAUUGGCGAGGUUCGUUAGAGAGCGCGUCCGCUCGCGAGCUACAAAAGGGAAUCGGGUUAAAAUUCCCGAGCCGGGAUGUGUUGGAUGAGGGCGAUGUUAGGGAGUCCAGAGACGACAGCGUGGGGCCGGGGGAGAGUUAUUUUUUCUGCUUAACGACCCACCCACCCUGGAAACGGCUCAGCCAGAGGUAAGGUCCAGCGGUCGGAAGAGCACCGCACGUCACGCAGUGUCUGGUGCUCCCCCGGUGGCCCGUGAAAAUCCGAAGGACCGAGUACCGCCCACGCCCGGUCGUAUUCAUAACCGCAUCAAGUCUUCAAGGUGAAUAGUCUCUGGGGGAUGGAACAAUGUAGGCAAGGGAAGUUGGCAAAACGGAUCCAUAACUUCGAGAAAAGGAUUGGCUCUGAGGGCUAGGCAAAACGGAUCCAUAACUUCGGCAAAACGGAUCCAUAACUCCCGGCCCCGAACCUGUCGGCUGUCGGAGGACUGCUCGAGAUGCGUUCGCGGCGAGAACGAGCCACAGCGUGCCAGUCGGGGGACAGACCGGGAACGACCCACGCACCGUUCCCGCAUCGUGGGGGCCUUCCCCGGGCAUCGAACAGCCGACCCAAAAAUGGUACAGACAAGAGGAAUCCAACUGUUUAAUUAAAAUAAAGCAUUGCGAUGGUCCACACAUAUGCUCACGCAAUGUGAUUUUUGCCCAGUGCUCUGAAUGUCAAAGUGAAGAAAUUCAACCAAGCAUGUGUAAAUGGCGGUAGUAACUAUGACUCUCUUAAGGUAGCCAAAUGCAUCAUCAUCUAAUUAGUAACGCGCAUGAAUAGAUUAACGAGAUUCCCACUGUGACUAUCUACUAUCCAGCGAAACCACAACCAAGGGAACGGGCUUCGCGGAAUCAGCGGGGAAACAAGAUCCUGUUGAUCUUGACUCUACUCUGACUUUGUGAAAUGACUUGAGAGGUGUAGGAUAAGUGCGAACCCUCGGGCAGAAGUGAAAUAACACUACUUUUAACAUUAUUUUAGUUAUUCCAUGGACCGGAGGCGGGGCUCCGCCCCUACUUUUGGCUCCAAGGCCGCGCCACGCGAGUGGCUGAUCAGGGUAGAAGACAUUGUUAGGUGGGAUGUUUGGCUGGGGCGGCACAUCUGUUAAAAGAUAACGCAAUUGUCCUAAGAUGAGCUCAAUGAGAACAGAAGUCUCAUGUGGAACAAAAAGGUAAAAGCUCGUUUGAUUCUAAUUUCCAGUACGAAUACGAACCAUGAAAGCGUGGCCUAUCGAUCCUUUAGCCCUCCGAGAUUUGAAGCUAGAGGUGUCAAAAAAGUUACCACAAGGAUAACUGGCUUGUGGCAGCCAAGCGUUCAUAGCGAUGUUGCUUUUGGAUCCUUCGAUGUCGGCUCUUCCUAUCAUUGUGAAACAUAAUUCACCAAGUGUUGGAUUGUUCACCCACCAAUAGGGAAUGUGAGCUGGGUUUAGACCAUUGUGAGACAGGUUAGUUUUACCCUACUUAUGACCGUGCUGCUAUAGUAAUUCAACCUAGUAUGAGAGGAACCGUUGAUUCACACAAUUGGUCGUCGCGCUUGGUUGAAAAGCCAGUGGUGCGAAGCUACCGUGUGCCGGAUUAUGGCUGAACGCCUUUAAGCCAGAAUCCAAGCUUGCGUGCAGCACCACACCCCGCCGCCCAGAACCCCAACACGCAAGAGGGGACCCCGCGCCCCCUAUGGGCCUGUGUCAUAGGCAUGGGCCCUUGCGGCGGACCCGCCAUGGGCGACGGCCUCGAAGCGCGAUUUUGAGCUGGCAGAGGGUUGAAUCCUUUGCAGACGACUUAAAUAUACGACGGGGCAUUAUAAGUGGCAGAGUGGCCUUG
rnacentral:rRNA from 1 species